rnacentral:rRNA from 1 species
AGUGAACGCUGGCGGUAUGCCUAACACAUGCAAGUCGAACGGCAGCGCAGUAAGUGCUUGCUCUUACGGGUUGCCAGUGGCGGACGGGAGAGGUAUACAUCGUACUCUACUUUUUCGUGGGGGUUAAGGUAGGGAAACCUACUCCAAUAUCGCAUACGACCUACGGGUGUAAGCAUGGGAUCUUCGCACCUUGCGCGCUUGAAUGAGCCGAUGCCGGAUUGGAUGGUGGGGGGGGUAAAGGCCCACCAGGGCGAGGCUCCGUAGCUGGCCGGAGAGAAGGACCGGCGCCACUGGAACUGGAACACGGUCCGGACUCCUACGGGAGGAAGCAGUGGGGAAUAUUGGACAAUGGGCGCAAGCCUGAUCCAGCCAGACCGCGUGGGUGAAGAAGGCCUUCGGGUUGUAAAGCCCUUUUGUUGGGAAAGAAAAGCAGCAGGUUAAUACCCCGCUGUUGUGACGGUACCUAAAGAAUAAGCACCGGCUAACUACGUG